rnacentral:rRNA from 1 species
GACGAACGCUGGCGGCAUGCUUAACACAUGCAAGUCGAACGGAAAGGCCCUGCUUUUGUGGGGUGCUCGAGUGGCGAACGGGUGAGUAACACGUGAGUAACCUGCCCUUGACUUUGGGAUAACUUCAGGAAACUGGGGCUAAUACCGGAUAGGAGCUCCUGCUGCAUGGUGGGGGUUGGAAAGUUUCGGCGGUUGGGGAUGGACUCGCGGCUUAUCAGCUUGUUGGUGGGGUAGUGGCUUACCAAGGCUUUGACGGGUAGCCGGCCUGAGAGGGUGACCGGCCACAUUGGGACUGAGAUACGGCCCAGACUCCUACGGGAGGCAGCAGUGGGGAAUAUUGCACAAUGGGCGGAAGCCUGAUGCAGCAACGCCGCGUGCGGGAUGACGGCCUUCGGGUUGUAAACCGCUUUCGCCUGUGACGAAGCGUGAGUGACGGUAAUGGGUAAAGAAGCACCGGCUAACUACGUGCCAGCAGCCGCGGUGAUACGUAGGGUGCGAGCGUUGUCCGGAUUUAUUGGGCGUAAAGGGCUCGUAGGUGGUUGAUCGCGUCGGAAGUGUAAUCUUGGGGCUUAACCCUGAGCGUGCUUUCGAUACGGGUUGACUUGAGGAAGGUAGGGGAGAAUGGAGUUCCUGGUGGAGCGGUGGAAUGCGCAGAUAUCAGGAGGAACACCAGUGGCGAAGGCGGUUCUCUGGGCCUUUCCUGACGCUGAGGAGCGAAAGCGUGGGGAGCGAACAGGCUUAGAUACCCUGGUAGUCCACGCUGUAAACGGUGGGUACUAGGUGUGGGGUCCAUUCCACGGGUUCCGUGCCGUAGCUAACGCUUUAAGUACCCCGCCUGGGGAGUACGGCCGCAAGGCUAAAACUCAAAGGAAUUGACGGGGCCCCGCACAAGCGGCGGAGCAUGCGGAUUAAUUCGAUGCAACGCGUAGAACCUUACCUGGGUUUGACAUGGAUCGGGAGUGCUCAGAGAUGGGUGUGCCUCUUUUGGGGUCGGUUCACAGGUGGUGCAUGGCUGUCGUCAGCUCGUGUCGUGAGAUGUUGGGUUAAGUCCCGCAACGAGCGCAACCCUUGUUCACUGUUGCCAGCACGUUAUGGUGGGGACUCAGUGGAGACCGCCGGGGUCAACUCGGAGGAAGGUGGGGAUGACGUCAAGUCAUCAUGCCCCUUAUGUCCAGGGCUUCACGCAUGCUACAAUGGCUGGUACAGAGAGUGGCGAGCCUGUGAGGGUGAGCGAAUCUCGGAAAGCCGGUCUCAGUUCGGAUUGGGGUCUGCAACUCGACCUCAUGAAGUCGGAGUCGCUAGUAAUCGCAGAUCAGCAACGCUGCGGUGAAUACGUUCCCGGGGCU